rnacentral:tRNA from 1 species
UCUAAAAUGGCAGAUCAUUGCAUAGGACUUAAGAUCCUAAUAGAAAAUUAAAUAGUUUUUUUUAGAG